rnacentral:tRNA from 1 species
CCGGUCGGCUGGCUGGGCAGAACGGGCGGCCAGUCGCCGACCGGCUCCGAUCGUGGCAACGCCCACCCGCCGGCGUUCGCCGCGUCGCCGUCCGGU